rnacentral:rRNA from 1 species
UACGAAGGGGGCUAGCGUUGCUCGGAAUUACUGGGCGUAAAGCGCACGUAGGCGGUCUUUUAAGUCGGGGGUGAAAUCCUGGAGCUCAACUCCAGAACUGCCUUCGAUACUGGAAGACUUGAGUCCGGGAGAGGUGAGUGGAACUGCGAGUGUAGAGGUGAAAUUCGUAGAUAUUCGCAAGAACACCAGUGGCGAAGGCGGACUCACUGGCCGUG